rnacentral:rRNA from 1 species
AUACGGAGGAUCCGAGCGUUAUCCGGAUUUAUUGGGUUUAAAGGGUGCGCAGGCGGCCAUUUAAGUCAGCGGUUAAAUCGUGGGGCUCAACCCCAUUCUGCCGUUGAUACUGGGUGGCUUGAUUGCGGUCGAGGUUGGCGGAAUUCGUUGUGUAGCGGUGAAAUGCAUAGAUAUGACGAAGAACACCGAUUGCGUAGGCAGCUGACCAGACCGCAAAUGACGCUCAUGCACGAAAGUGCGGGGAUCAAACAGGAUUAGAUACCCUGGUAGUCCGCACAGUAAACGAUGAAUACUUGUUUUCGGCGAUAUAAUGUCGGAGGCAAAGCGAAAGCGAUAAGUAUUCCACCUGGGGAGUACGCCGGCAACGGUGAAACUUAAAGGAAUUGACGGGG